rnacentral:ncRNA from 1 species
GUGCGGUCAUAAAAUCAGAAGGAUUUUGAACCUUGGCUUUGCCAGCAGUUCCGAAGGAACAAAUAAAUCACCCAGUGAUUUAUGAGUCAUUAUUUUAACGUU